AAUCAUUCAAUCAAACACCUCGAUCUUAGCCAUUGCUUCAGUCUGCAACAAGAUGAGCAACUGAUUACUCAAUUUCUAAACAACGGAUAUAGCGAAGAGGUAUGCUCGGUGCAACGAUCGAUUUGCUUACCCGGAGCUAGAAUCCCCGAAUAUUUCGAAAUUCAAUCAUCAGGAAGAUCUACGACGAUCAGCCUAUCACCGAUUAGGUUUACGCUCGCAGCUAUAGGUUUCGCUGCAUGUAUCAUGGUUUCUUGCGAGAGGUCCGUCUAUCUCCAAUUCCCGGCGUUUAGUUACGAUUGGAGCUACGAAGAAGAUGAUGAAGUGAUUCUGAUUAACGUCAAACCAAAUAUCUAUCGUGAAUCGGAGAUUGAGGGAAAAGAUACGAUCCCAUCGCAUCACCUGGUUAUCAUCCACGUCGCGAGUAGCGUAAGCACUGAGAGGAUUGAAGAGUUGCGACUCGAGUCCCAUCUUCAGUUUCCAGGCGAGUUUCGGUUUCCACCCGCCGAUAUAAGA
rnacentral:lncRNA from 1 species